GUCACUCUACAACAGAGCCCAGAAUCGUGAGUCGCUGUAGCACUGGGGGACACCCAGACAGAGCCUUCGCUGGACCAAGUCCUCCAGGAGAGGGAUGAAGCCAUUGCCAAGAAGCAGGCAGUGGAGGCUGAGCUGGACACAUGCAAAGCCAAGUUGCGAGCUGUGGAGGCCCAGCUGCUGGAGGUCCUGGAGGAGAAACUGAGGCUGAGGCAGGAGGUGGAAGCCUGGGAGGAGGACAUGCGGCUACUGGUGAGACAGCAGGUCGAGAGUCAGCUGCAGAGAGAGUCCAGGGGCCCUCAGGGAGCCCCGGUGACCCCCAGAACUGC